GGAAGGAUCAUUAUUGAAUAAAAAAUUGAACAGGUUGUUGCUGGCUUUCUUGAGGCAUGUGCACACUUGUCAUUUUAUUUCUCCACUGUGCAUCAACUGUAGGUCUGAAGUAUGUUUCUGAAAUUUUCGAUUGAGGACUGCUGUGCUUUCUUGAAAGUCAGCUCUUCCUUGCAUCUUCAGGUCUAUUUUACAAACUCUCAAUGUGUUUGGAAUGUGAAUAUAUAUAUUAUAUAUACAACUUUCAGCAACGGAUCUCUUGGCUCUCGCAUCGAUGAAGAACGCAGCGAAAUGCGAUAAGUAAUGUGAAUUGCAGAAUUCAGUGAAUCAUCGAAUCUUUGAACGCAUCUUGCGCUCCUUGGUAUUCUGAGGAGCAUGCCUGUUUGAGUGUCAUCAAGUUCUCAACCACAUCAAUUUGCUUUUUGAUGUGGCAUUGGAUAUGGGAGUUGCAGGGCCUUAUUGUUUGGGUCUGCUUUCCUAAAAUAAAUUAGUGGUGUCUGAGCAGAGGCCUUACUACAGGUGUGAUAACUAUCUAUGCCUAUGUAAAACACUGCGCAAACUGCUUCAAAUCUCAUUUGUUGACCAAUUUGACCUCAAAUCAGGUAGGACUACCCGCUGAACUUAAGCAUAUCAAUAAGCGGAGGAAAAGAAACUAACAAGGAUUCCCCUAGUAACUGCGAGUGAAGCGGGAAAAGCUCAAAUUUGAAAUCUGGUGGUUUUUGACCAUCCGAGUUGUAAUCUAGAGAAGUGUUACCCGUGCUGGACUGUGUACAAGUCUCCUGGAAUGGGGCAUCAUAGAGGGUGAGAAUCCCGUCUUUGACAUGGACUACCAGUGCACUGUGGGUGUGCUCUCAAAGAGUCGAGUUGUUUGGGAAUGCAGCUCAAAAUGGGUGGUAAAUGCCAUCUAAAGCUAAAUAUUGGCGAGAGACCGAUAGCGAACAAGUACCGUGAGGC
rnacentral:sRNA from 1 species